rnacentral:rRNA from 1 species
UACAGGGGGGGCAAGCGUUGUUCGGAAUUAUUGGGCGUAAAGGGCUCGUAGGCGGCCAACUAAGUCAGACGUGAAAUCCCUCAGCUUAACUGGGGAACUGCGUCUGAUACUGGAUGGCUUGAGUUUGGGAGAGGGAUGCGGAAUUCCAGGUGUAGCGGUGAAAUGCGUAGAUAUCUGGAGGAACACCGGUGGCGAAGGCGGCAUCCUGGACCAAUUCUGACGCUGAGGAGCGAAAGCCAGGGGAGCAAACGGG